AAAAUAUAUUUUUAUGGAAUAUAAAUUACGUGUUGACGGAAAUUUUUGUCUCUAAAAAUUAAUUCAAAUAAUUAUAUUUAUAGGGACGGAUAUGAGAAUAUGUCGCUAAGUUCGUUGCGAUAAUUUUACAUAGUCAUCACACAUUGAAAGCACAAAAAGAAAAUAAAAAUUACAAUCCCUAAAAAAUAGGGUUUUAUCUCAAUGAAACGUCCCAAGAGCAACGCAGCAGAUGAGUGAGAGCUAAGAAUUCGAUUUCUCCUGUCUCCUUCUCCUUUUGAUUGCUCCGGUCUCCUUCUCCUUUUGAUUGCUCCCGUCUCAGGUUCACGGUAAAAUUGCUCCUGUAUCCUUCAUCCUCAGGAGAAAGAUUUAUUUUUAUACUCUAACCUUGCUUGCUUCUACUUUUCUUGAUGUAAUUCUCGACAUCUCAAAAUAACAAGACAAGAAGUCUCAAAGACUUUCACUAUCUAGUCUCUGCUUGGAGAAAGAUACAAGUGUCGUGUUGGCUCUCGUAAGAGGAAAUUGAUCCGUUACAAGAAAAUGUAUUAUUUUCCUUUGAUUCCUAGAUUGAAAAGAUUGUAUGCAUAUCAUGCUACAGAUGCCGACAUGAGAUGGCAUCAUGAGAAUACAAAAGAGGAUGGUGUAAUGCGCCAUCCAUCAGACUCUGUGGCUUGGAAGCACUUCAAUGACACUCAUCCUUUUUUUGCUCAUGAACCAAGAAAUGUAAGGUUGGGAUUAUGCACUGAUUGAUUCCAACCGUGUAGUGAGUCUGGGAGUAGAUACUCUUCGUGGCCAGUUAUUAUCUUACCUUAUAAUUUACCUCCAUGAAUGUGUAUCAAAGAGGCUUAUAUUUUCCAAUUAUUCAUUGUUCUGGAGCCAAAUAUCCCAAAACAUAAAAUUGAAAUUUUUUUGUAGCCUCUAAUAAUUAAAUUGA